rnacentral:tRNA from 1 species
GCCUAGAUGGCUCAGUUGCUUAAGCAUCUGACUUCCACUCAGGUCACGAUCUCGCGGUUUGUGAGUUCAAGCCCCGCAUUGGGCU